CACCUUGCACAGUGGUAAUAUCGUAACCAAUGAAAGCCUCCUGAGGUGCGAUUAUUGCUAGUUGAAGAAAACUUUUACCAAGACCCCGCCAUGAAGCUGUGAAAUAACACAAUAACUUUCUAUCACUUAUAAUAAUAA
rnacentral:snRNA from 1 species